AAGAGAAGGAAGUGGGGAGCCACAGAAUUGCCUUGAGCAGCUGCUGGUACAGGUGAAUAGGAGGCAGAAAUUUAUUCAGGAAAGGAUAAAUCUGUCGUAAUGCAUUGUUCUGACAAAUAUUCAGUCAGUGUUUGAGAAAAAACAAUUUUAUAACUGUUUGGCCCAUGAUCUUCUUAAAUUGUGCCAUGAAUUGUGCAAUAGUUCUAUAAAAACUUUUCAGAUCUGCCAGCAUUGUAGGAUGCAAUAUAAAGCCACGAUCUGUGAGAUUUAGAAAGUGCACAGUUUUACUCCUGGAAGUAGCUUCACUAUGAGUGCAGUUACACAUGUACUUAAUACACACAAGCUCUGUUUGAGACCUCGUAUGUACAAGGAUUGGCAUCUCAAACACACGGCACUGGUCAGACUGGUACAUUCAUAGACAGCCAGGGAGGGGUUUACGGCAUGCCUACAAGCUGUCCAGCAUGCGCUUUGAAGGUCUCAUGAGGAAAACAUGAGGAGAUCUCUUUGGUGGUGUCCUGUUUUAUCACAUUCCUUGAUGAACCAAGGGCUGUAUACAAAACAGUAAGCAAUAUGAACAAAAACGGGCAAUGUGAACAUCGCCUUCAGUUCAUCACCAAUUAGUUCAGCUAAUUUUAAAUAUGCAUACGAAUUCAAUAUAAUGAAGUGGAGUCCAAAAGUCACUAAUUCAACUCUUUGAAAGCGUGUUCCUUUUUUGACCAAACUGUAGUACCACGACCUUAUUUAUAUACUUUUGCAGAAAACAUAGCUGAAUGACUAUUCUGGUUUGGAAUGCGUCACUUUGAGUACUCAUGCUCCUGAAACUUUUACAGGCCUCAAAAUCAGCAGUGACAAAGUGGCAAGAAGGUGUUCCACCAAGAAUCUAGUUAAAUUGUCAAAAAACAAAAACAAAAACAAACACGAUAUUUUAAACAAUUUUCUUAAUAUUCACUAGAUGGCAGCUGAUCUUCAAGAAUGGCUGUAUUUCUCCUUGCAGAUCUGAUAAUUUCAAGUCAUCGGUUCUUGGAGAAACUGAUUGUAGUCCAGCAUUGUCUUCACUCUGUUUCAAAUAUCAAACUGAAAUACCAGCACAGCACAUCUUAUACUCCAGCUGAAGAAAAGCUUCUGAAAAUCCUUGGAGACAAUCAGUCCAACUGCUGUAGAAGCAGCUGCUCAGUUGGUGAUCAUUUCUCCCAGAGAAUUCAUCAGAAAAAUGUCACAGACUUCAGCGAGGGUUGGCCGGAGCCCUGGCAGCCAAACUAGGAACAAUGCCUACAUUGCGCAGAACAGAAUGUAGCCAUUCAUAUUUGCAUGAAGCUUGUGGAUUCCUACUGUGGAAGUGCCUGUGAAAAUGACUAUGCAUUUAGUUCUCAAAUUAAUAUUGGCCGAUCAAAUUGUGUUUAAGACUGAGUGCAUUUUUAAGCAUUUGCUCUGCUAAAGGCUCUGUUCUAGACUUUGAGGUUUGAAAGUCUAUCUAGAAUAGUUGCAGUUCAUCCAUGUCACUAAUCAAGGUUCUAUUUUUCAGCUCCUAUGGAUGUAUUGUCCUCUGUCUGCUGGUUAGAAUUUGUGGUCCAAAAUGAUACUGCCUUUGUAUUUACAAAGGGGAAGGAAGUAUUCUUGCAAGAGUUGAAAACGGUGAUUAAAAUAUUUUCUUGUUCUUUUAAGGAGGAGCUGAGGAUCUGUUCUGUUAAUCAUGUGAUAUCUAUAAGAAUGACAUUGACAAGGUAAGAGAGAGUAAAUAGUGGGCUGGUACAGACACCUUGUGAGAACACCUACCCAAAGUAGCUGUCCGUUCUUACUACAUUCCACGUUCAGGACAGAGUAGAUACAUAGUGUCCCGGCUUCAGAUUCCUCUGAAUCUCUCAGUGUUUGACUGAAAAAUAUACCUCUGCCAAAUAAAAAUACACAUUUCAGAGUAAUUUAGACA
ensembl:lncRNA